GAUGAACGCUAGCUACAGGCUUAACACAUGCAAGUCGCGGGGCAGCAUGGGGGUUGCUUGCAAUCCCCGAUGGCGACCGGCGCACGGGUGAGUAACGCGUAUCCAACCUGCCCUUCACCACGGGAUAACCCGGCGAAAGUCGGACUAAUACCGUAUGUUGUCCAUUGACGGCAUCCGAUUUGGACGAAAGGUUUGGCGGUGAAGGAUGGGGAUGCGUCCGAUUAGCUGGACGGCGGGGUGACGGCCCACCGUGGCGACGAUCGGUGGGGGUUCUGAGAGGAAGGUCCCCCACACUGGAACUGAGACACGGUCCAGACUCCUACGGGAGGCAGCAGUGAGGAAUAUUGGUCAAUGGGCGUAAGCCUGAACCAGCCAAGUAGCGUGCAGGAUGACGGCCCUAUGGGUUGUAAACUGCUUUUAUGCGGGGAUAAAGUGGCCCACGUGUGGGUUUUUGCAGGUACCGCAUGAAUAAGGACCGGCUAAUUCCGUG
rnacentral:rRNA from 1 species